rnacentral:lncRNA from 1 species
GAUGGUGAGGACUUGAGAGAGGAGCUCUUGGAGCUUGAUUGGAUCAUCUUGGAGCUGAGGAGUUAUGAUGGCCCUUGCACUUGAGAAUGGUUUAGACUCUCCCUUGCACUUGAUCUUGUACUCAAUCACUCCAUCUUUGAUCUUCAUUGGAUAAAGAGUGAGAAUGUGUGAAGAUUUCUCAAUAGGAGUGGGAUGAGGUUCUUUGAUCAUCUUCUUCUUGUCAUGAGUAGC